rnacentral:tRNA from 1 species
GGUUGGACAUCCCGGUCAAGGACUCUGGACUUUCACUCCAGUAACCCGGGUUCGAAAGCCUCGAACGACGAAUCGUUCAAGAUUUGUCGGCAAGGCCGCCAAUCCCGGACGGAGCA